ensembl:lncRNA
AUGGAGGCAAUCAGCCUGUGGCACUGCUGAGGUGUUCUGGAAGCCCAGGUUGCUUUGAUAGCGGCCUUCAGCUCGUCUGUAUUGUUGGUCUGGUGUCUCUCAUAGAUUCUCUAAGGGGUUCAGGUCAGGCGAGUCGGCUGGCCAAUCAAGCACAGUAAUACCAUGGUCAGAAAACCAGUUACUAGUAGUUUUGGCACUGUGGGCAGGUGCAAUUCCUGCUGGAAAAAGAAAUCUCCAUAAAGCUUGUCAGCAGAUGGAAGCAUGAAGUGCUCUAAAGUCUCCUGGUAGACGCUGCACUGACUUGACAUUGAAACUUUACACUGGACUUCAAGCAACUUGGAUUCUGUGCCUGUCCGCUCUUCCUCCAGACUCUGGGACCUUGAUUUCCAAAUGAAAUGCAAAUUUUACUUUCAUCUUCCCCAUGAUUGUGGUUGUGUGUACUGAACCAGAAUGAGAGAUUAAAGACUCAGGAAACCUUUGCAGGUGUUUUGAGUUAAUUAGCUGAUUAGAGCUCUUCUCAGGUCCACAUUUCUGUAUUAUAAAUUCUUUAUUCUAAUAUUUUGAGAUACUGGAUUUUUGAUUUCCAUGAGCUGUAAGCUGUAAUCAUCAAGAUUAAAACAAAAAAAGGCUUAAAAUAUUUCACUUUAUGUUUAAUGAAUCUAGAAUACAUUUUACUGGGGGGAAAAAUUAACUUUUCCACGAUAUUCUAAUUUUCUGUGAUGCGUGUGUGUGUGUGUGUGUGUAGCUUGUAACAGCUGUGGUGUGGAACUGCACACUGAAUCUUGUACUUGGACAGUGACAGUAAAGGUAUAUGUAUAUUCAAGUUAUGCUGGUGUGUGUGUGUGUGUUUUGACAUUAAAUUUACAGCAUCCAGCAGAAUCCCUUAUCAAGAGUGACUUACAGAAGUGCUUUAUAGUCUCCAACAGAAACAUAUCCUCUUUCUAGUUCAGGGUCCAAGAAUACCAUCAAGGUAAAAUCCCAUCAGAGAGAGGUUUGUACAACAACAAAAAACACACACAAGCCUAGGGAUUUUCUGUAAAAGUCAUAGGCCUCAUUGCAGGACAGCUGAUUUCUGUUUUAUCGUAAGGUCAUUACUCAUGAGCAACCUCUCUGGGUCCUUCACAUUCAUCACAGCUGAACACGAAACUUAUUCACCAAACAACUGUGCAUAUUAAUGAGCCCUUAAACUAUUCAUCUUAUUGCUGUGAAUUAAUUCACGUCACACUGAGUUAUGAUUCUUUCUUCUCAGUCUAGUUUUU